rnacentral:ncRNA from 1 species
GCUUAUUCUCAGGGCGGGGUGCAAGUCCCCACCGGCGGUAAAUCACCAUUCACGGUGAAAGCCCGCGAGCGCUCAACCUAUCUCUCAGGAGUGGGUUAGAGGUCAGCAGAUCCGGUGUAAUUCCGGGGCCGACGGUUAUAGUCCGGAUGGGAGAGAGUAACG